rnacentral:lncRNA from 1 species
AAAAUCCUCUCUCUCUCAUAAUCCUCAUUAUCCAAGUCUAGAGCCAUUUGUAAUUUGUUUUGAAGAUCAAAUGGCCAUGUCCAAGACAUUUACAAUUUGCAUUGUUGCUCUCUUGGUGUGCUCGAUUUGUAGUGAAACGACGAAUGCAAAAGGUAUCAGUAAUGGGGCAAUACGUCGUGAUCAGCCAGGUGGUUGCAGAGAGUCACGGUGCAUGCCUCCACCAUCCAACUCUUAUAACAGAGGUUGUGAGAAAGGGAAGGAGUGCAGAGGUGGUGGUCGUAAAUUAAAAUAAGUCUUCCGGAGCACAACAUAUAACCAAGAAGGGGACACACCAAGAAAUGGAGCUUAAAGCACUAAAUAGCGAUGCCCAUUCUUUUACAUAAAUAUAUUUAUUAUACUACUCUUGAUCUAACCAUAUUGUGAACAUGAUGUAAUAAAGAACAACAUUAUUCAAUCAGUUUCUAAAGAGUUCAACGUGUUGGUAUUAAAAGGGUUUUCAAAAUUUUAUUGUUUUCAAUUUUGAAUUAAAUAUUAAUUUUGUUGACCAAAUGCUUCUUUAUUUUUUGUGGG